GUAGACAGUAACACUCUGGGAGGGCUCAAACCACAUAACCAAAUGUGCCAAGAUAAUCCUGAGCUCACUAUUGUCAGUCCUGAAGAUUUUCCUCAGAUAAUCUUUCAUCUCUUUGUUCCUGAGACUAUAUAUUAGAGGAUUACAGAGUGGUGUUAUCACAGAAAAGAACAAGGUAAUGAUUUUUUCAUUUUUACUGGGUGUGCUGAUCCAGGACUAACAUACAUCACCAUGAUAGAGCCAUAAAAUAAGGUGACAACUGCCAAAUGAGAGGCACAAGUGGAGAAAGCUUUUCGUUUGCCAGCCUCUGAAGGCAUCCGUAUUAUAGCCAGAAUCACCAGAGCAUAGGAACAAAGGAUAAAGAGAAAGGUGCCAAUUAUGAAGACAGAAUUGAAUGUGGAGUAAAUGAGCUGGGUGAUGAUGAUGUCUUCAGAACAGGACAGCAUCUUCAAUGGGACGGGAUCACAAAUAAAAUGGUUGAUAAUAUUUGGGCCACAGUAGGAUAGCUGUGAAAUGAGAAUCACCAGAGUUAGGAAGAUUACAAAGACACAUGACCAUGCAAAAAUGAUGAGGCCAGUGCAUACUUGUUUAGUCAUGAUGCAUGGAUAACGUAGAGGGCGGCAGAUGGCAAGAUACCUGUCAAAGGCCGUGAUGCAAAGGAAGAAGCCCUCAUCAUACCCCAAAGAGAAGAAGUAGAACUGUGCAAAACAACUCAUGAAUGAGAUGGACUUGCUUGUGGAGAGGAAGUUGGCCAGCAGUUUAGUUGCAGUAACAUAACAUAUUUCCAGGAGAGAGAAAUUUCCCAAGAGGGUGUACAUGGGAGUGUGAAGGUGCUGGUCCUACCACACAGCACAGACAAUGGCUGCAUUUCCCAUCGGGGUGAGAGUAUAGGCUACUGAGAAGAGACCGAAGUAGAGGAGCUGCAUUUCUGGGCUUGAGGGAAAGCCCAUGAGGAUAAGGCAGCUAACAAAAUUGAUAGUUUCCAUGCUGAACACAUUCAUUAGUCUGGAAGACAUGGAGAUGGCAGAGGUAACUGAAACAUGAAA
rnacentral:lncRNA from 1 species